UAAAAUCAACGCUUGGGUUAGCGGUGAUCGUUGACGUUGAUUCAACGCAAACACGUUAACGUUGACGCUAACAACCAUGAAAAUUAACGCAACGACGUUGACGUUGAUCCAGAGCACAAUCAACGUUAACGGCGUUUAUCGUUGAUUAACGUUAACAACCCUGAUUAGGAUUUCUGUU